rnacentral:rRNA from 1 species
AUUGAACGCUGGCGGCAGGCCUAACACAUGCAAGUCGAACGAGUGGCGGACGGGUGAGUAAUGUCUGGACAACUGCCCGAUGGAGGGGGAUAACUACUGGAAACGGUAGCUAAUACCGCAUACCAUCGGAUGUGCCCAGAUUGGAUUAGCUAGUGGGUGGGGUAACGGCUCACCUAGGCGACGAUCCCUAGCUGGUCUGAGAGGAUGACCAGCCACACUGGAACUGAGACACGGUCCAGACUCCUACGGGAGGCAGCAGUAGGGAAUAUUGUGCAAUGGGCGCAAGCCUGAGGCAGCCAUGCCGCGUGUAUGAAGAAGGCCUUCGGGUUGUAAAGUACUUUCAGCGGAGAAGCGGUACCCGCAGAGGAAGCACCGGCUAACUCCGUGCCAGCCGCCGCGGUAAUUC